CCUACGGGAGGCUGCAGUGGGGAAUAUUGGACAAUGGGCGAAAGCCUGAUCCAGCCAUGCCGCGUGUGUGAAGAAGGCCUUCGGGUUGUAAAGCACUUUCAGUGGGGAAGAAAGCCUUGGGGCUAAUACCCUCGAGGAAGGACAUCACCCACAGAAGAAGCACCGGCUAACUCCGUGCCAGCAGCCGCGGUAAUACGGAGGGUGCGAGCGUUAAUCGGAAUUACUGGGCGUAAAGCGCGCGUAGGCGGUCUGAUAAGCCGGUUGUGAAAGCCCCGGGCUCAACCUGGGAACGGCAUCCGGACCGGCCGGCCAGAGUGCCGGAGAGGAAGGUAGAAUUCCCGGUGUAGCGGUGAAAAGCGUAGAGGUCGGGAGGAAAAACAGUGGCGAAGGCCGGCUUCUGGACCGACAACGACGCCGGGGGGCGAAAACGUUGGUAGCAAACAGGAUUAGAUACCCUGGUAGUC
rnacentral:rRNA from 1 species